rnacentral:rRNA from 1 species
CAGGCUGAAACUCGCCUGCACGAGGUUGGAAUUGCUAGUAAUCGCGGAUCAGCAUGCCGCGGUGAAUACGUUCCCGGGUCUUGUACACACCGCCCGUCACACCAUGGGAGCUGGUAACACCCGAAGUCAGUAGUCUAACCGCAAGGAGGACGCUGCCGAAGGUGGGAUUAGCGACUGGGGUGAAGUCGUAACAAGGUAAC